rnacentral:rRNA from 1 species
GACGAACGCUGGCGGCGUGCUUAACACAUGCAAGUCGAGCGGUAAGGCCUUUCGGGGUACACGAGCGGCGAACGGGUGAGUAACACGUGGGUGACCUGCCUUUAGCUUCGGGAUAAGCCUGGGAAACCGGGUCUAAUACCGGAUAUGACCUCAUGUCGCAUGGUGUUGGGUGGAAAGUUCUUCGGCUAGAGAUGGGCCCGCGGCCUAUCAGCUUGUUGGUGGGGUGAUGGCCUACCAAGGCGACGACGGGUAGCCGGCCUGAGAGGGCGACCGGCCACACUGGGACUGAGACACGGCCCAGACUCCUACGGGAGGCAGCAGUGGGGAAUCUUGCGCAAUGGGCGAAAGCCUGACGCAGCGACGCCGCGUGAGGGAUGACGGCCU